UAAUUUGGUUGUACUUUUAAUUAUUGUGAUGGUUUUAAACAAUGUAAGUAAUAGUAAAAAAAUAUAUCAAUGAACUAACAAUUGUACAUUUGAUACCAAAGUUCGAAAUCGUAAACUGGAUACAAUACCUAUAACAUUGAACUGUAAAAAGUUUUGUUAUAUGACUAUAAUUUUUAAACCCAGGCCUCUGUUUCACUGCGCCAUAGACUUAUAAUAACAUAAAACCGCCAAUCCUCUUCUCUUGACAUGCGCAUAACCAUAAUGCUGCUUACUUUCGUAGUCGACAUCUAGCGCCAAGUAGCGGAUUUAUUAGUACCGCUACUUGACACUAGAUGUCACGAGUGUCAUGACAAAUGAAAAGUGUAUUGCUCAACAAUUUACAACUAAUAUUACAAGCGGAAGGAGUUGAAAAUAGAUUUCCGGUUAUAUUAGCUGCAAACUGUUGAGCGUUAGACUUUAUAGACCGAAUUGACAAAUUGGUGAAAUAGGCGCCAGGUUUAACAUAGAGUAUAAAAUGGUAUUUGACAUUUGUGAAAUGAAAAUGUCGGUUACUGAAAUCGAUGAAUCAAAUAGAAUUUGUUUGCCGAAUUGAUAUAACACUAAACGAUUUGAAUAGUAUCUAAUGCCGUUGUAAUAAAGUUCUGAUUUGGAAGUCAAGUGCACAAUUACGGUCAACAUAUGUAAUUAUUAUUAUGUAAUCCGCAUGUCAGAACCUCAAACAAUUUUUGAAAAACUUUGUCCUAAGAACUAAAAAAAUAUUUUUUAUUUGAUUUCCUGUAUUUCCAUUUAAAUCCAGUGUUGUAAAGCAAAAAUAACUGAUCACGAUUUGUGUCAUUGUUACUUGUGAUAGUGAACUCAAAAUGGUAAAUCUAUGGUUCUAAUGUCGUUCUUAGGCAAAAUAACCUUUGUUCAGUAGGGUGGUAUUCCACCUGUCCAAUAUUAAAUUUGGUCAAAUGUGCAUUGCGUCUCAGUCUCUCAUUAAGGAAAAUGUGAGACGCUAAUAUACAUUUGAUCAUAUAUUGGACAGGUGGUCACCCGUAGCCGAAUAAGCUAAUGUUUGGUGGGUCAUACACAUUGAUAUUAUUUGUUAUUGGCGGUAGCCUUAAACAUUAGAGAACAAUGUCAUUUGAGAGUUUUUCGACUUAAAAUAUGUGAGUGACCCGUUCUUAAUAUAUUUAAUAUGUCUGUGUCUCACGGAAGUUUUGUUAUUAAAACAAUGUCAUUGUUCACAAGAUAAUCUCUCAAGUGCUAAACGGUUAGCUUAGGCUAUGUACGCACUAGCGGUUGCAGAUUAAACUGGAAAAGCGGCUAGCCUCGCGGGUUAGUCGCCCCCGCGGUUAACCGCUAGUGCGUUAUGGCCCUUAAAAAGUUUUUAACUAUACAUGUAUACCAUGUUUUACGGUAUUGUCCGCAGUGACUUUUUUCUGAAAUGUGUUUGACCCAGUUAUUUUCAAAGAACGACAAUUGGCCGUUAUUUUUAAACUGAUGGUUACAAAAUGUUCCCGAGCGGGAUAGUAUGGUACGAUUAGGUUAGGAGGUGGAAUAUGGGUCUCAAAGAGCCGCGACCAAGUCGGGCGAUGUGAUUGUUAUGAUGCUGUUAUGAUGGUGCAAGAAUUACUGUUACAUCAUGAUCAAAUAUGAGAAACUUAAUAAGUUCAGAAAUAAAUUAUUAAUAAUUUAACACCAAACUUGAAACAAAACUGAGGUCAUGUGGGUGGGGUUAGAGAUACAGUUUAAUUUGCUCGGGGCAAGAGAAACGGUAUGAGGAUUCCCUACAAGUGUUUCUCUUGCCCCAAUGUUAAUCUUAUCCCAUCCAACCUUAUAUAAUUUUGAUUUACAGGUCGAUUCACGAAAGCUGGCACGAAUGGAAUGAACGAAACUUUCAUUGAAUAAGUGACACCUGGGGGGCUGCCGUGAAAACCGAAAUUCGCAAAUUGCGGGGAUUUUUCUCUUUUACUCCAAUGAAGGCGUAAUUUGAGUGACAGAGAAAGAUGCCCGCAAUUUGCUACCUUCGAUUUUCGCGGUUAUAGCCCUGUGUCGGUAUUACAGUCAGAGCCACGGUUAAUGUGAUAGUUACACACAAAGAUAUUUUCAUUCACUCAUUCAUUCCAUUCGUGCCAGCUUUCGAGAAUCGACAUGUACACAUUUUGUGUUUUGGCAUCGAUGUUAACACUGGUCAAUUCCAGUGGUCGGAAAAAAACUUAACCAUUUUUUUUUUAAUUUUUCCAACCUACCUGAGUACAAACAGCAACACUCCUAACUGUACAUCGGUGGACCUUAUUACAAAAGGCAUAAGGUCCACCGAUGUACAGUUAACAGUGUGGGCGAUGGUACUAUCAUGUAACAGUGGCUCUUUAAGCAUCAAGUAGUGUUACUAAAUGAAGCCGAGGGUGUCAAUUCUUACGUAACGCGAUAAAGUGAACUUUAGAUAUAGAUUAUUUUAAUUGGCUUAUACAAAUUAUUUGGCAGAAUAAAGAUAGCACCCGAGGCUAAUGGAUAAGCGGUUAUAGCCUUUUCAAACAUUUGUGCGUACAAAUUAAAAGGUUUAAAAGUUAUAUUCUCAUAGGUAUGUAAAUAUGGACGCCGAAGAAUUUCGUUCAUUGACUUGCCUAUCCCUAUUGCACGCGCAUUUGCUGUUCCGCCGAUGAUGCCGGAGGUCAAUGCCACUGUGCGGGACAACAAUAUAAUUAUGCGCGUGCGAUAGAGUUAGACAAUGGCGAGUCAAUGUACUAAAUUAUUCGUGCUUUGCGUCCUUACUUUAGCCUAACCUGUAAUUUCUCCGAGCUAUGUAGUGUCAUUAUUGCCUGUAAACUUGACAGUCAAUGAUAACUGUAGAUAUUCAUUUGAAUAAGUACAGUCACCUUCAAUAAUAUGUUACACAACGAAGGCCGUAAAAUAUCUGAUUUUAUUUGUAGAGCCAUAAGGGCGUGUCACAUAUUUUUGCGGCUUUUGAACAGUAACAUAUUAUUGCAGGUGACUGUACUAAAAAGUAAAAGUGCAAAUCUUGGUCCUUUUAAUAUUUACGCAGAAACGUUUUGAAAAAAUGGUUUAGAUAGUUAUACGUUACGAAUUUUAAACAUAUUGUUAGGAGUCAUUUUACACUCGUGUUAUUGUAUGCUAGAGUGUUGACAAUAUCUUUUGGAAUUCCUCUAUAUUUUGUAUACAGCCCAAUAUUUAUUGUACAGUGUAAUAAAAUACAAUGCAUGUAUAA